AUUGAACGCUGGCGGCAGGCCUAACACAUGCAAGUCGAACGAGUGGCGGACGGGUGAGUAAUGUCCGGGAAACUGCCUGAUGGAGGGGGGUAACUACUGGAAACGGUAGCUAAUACCGCAUACCAUCAGAUGUGCCCAGAUGGGAUUAGCUAGUUGGUGGGGUAAAGGCUCACCAAGGCGACGCUCGCUAGCUGGUCUGAGAGGAUGACCAGCCACACUGGAACUGAGACACGGUCCGGACUCCUACGGGAGGCAGCAGUGGGGAGUAUUGCACAAUGGGCGCAGGCCUGAUUCGUCCAUGCCGCGUGUAUGAAGAAGGCCGUCGGGUUGUAAAGUACUUUCAGCGGGGAGGCGUUACCCGCAGAAGAAGCACCGGCUAACUCCGUGCCAGCAGCCGCGGUAAUAC
rnacentral:rRNA from 1 species